GGGCGUGUGGCUCAGUUGGUAGAGCGUUCGCUUAGCAUUUCUGGUUGAUCUUCUCUCCGAGAGGAGGAAGUUGAAACGGUUAUGCGAAAGGUCCUGGGUUCGAUUCCCAGCUCGUCCA